UGGGGUGUCGCCAAGUGGUAAGGCAGCGGUUUUUGGUACCGUCAUUCGGUGGUUCGAAUCCAUCCACCCCAGCCA
rnacentral:tRNA from 1 species